rnacentral:piRNA from 4 species
GUGGUUAGGAUUCGGCGCUCUCA